UGGGGAAUUUUGGACAAUGGGGGCAACCCUGAUCCAGCCAUGCCGCGUGAGUGAAGAAGGCCUUCGGGUUGUAAAGCUCUUUCGGUGGGAACGAAACGGUUACGGCUAAUAUCCGUGACUACUGACGGUACUCACAGAAGAAGCACCGGCUAACUACGUGCCAGCAGCCGCGGUAAUACGUAGGGUGCGAGCGUUAAUCGGAAUUACUGGGCGUAAAGCGUGCGCAGGCGGCUUACUAAGACAGGUGUGAAAGCCCCGAGCUUAACUUGGGAAUGGCGCUUGUGACUGGUAGGCUGGAGUGUGGCAGAGGGAGGUGGAAUUCCACGUGUAGCAGUGAAAUGCGUAGAGAUGUGGAGGAACACCGAUGGCGAAGGCAGCCUCCUGGGCCAGCACUGACGCUCAAGCACGAAAGCGUGGGGAGCAAACAG
rnacentral:rRNA from 1 species